UACGGAGGGUGCAAGCGUUAUCCGGAUUCACUGGGUUUAAAGGGUGCGUAGGUGGGCAGGUAAGUCCGUGGUGAAAUCUCUGAGCUUAACUCAGAAACUGCCGUGGAUACUAUUUGUCUUGAAUAUUGUGGAGGUGAGCGGAAUGUGUCAUGUAGCGGUGAAAUGCUUAGAUAUGACAUAGAACACCAAUUGCGAAGGCAGCUCACUACACAAUGAUUGACGCUGAGGCACGAAAGCGUGGGGAUCAAACAGG
rnacentral:rRNA from 1 species